CUACUCCAUCACCCGGUGUGGCUCGUCAUCCGCCCGCUGGCGCUACUCCUGGGUGGGGUCAUAUCUUAAGAGCCUUCAUAUGCUGCCAGAAUGUCACCCGGUGGAGGUGUAGAUCCCCUGGGGCUUUCCUGUUCCCGUGGCCGCUUGCCUUUGCCCUUAGUGGACAUUGGAGGUUUGUGUGGCAUCAUGAAGAUAUUGGGAAUCGUGCCUUACAGAUAAGUGAUAUAAAAAUUUGAAUUACUAUUUUGUUCUGAAAAUAACCGCGUUACAUUAAUAGCGAAAUGUAAUCUUUGAGGGAUGUUACAAUAAUUCACUUAAUUACUAAAUGAGUAGAAUAAUUGAAUCACAACCGCGGUUCUGAAAUUUGACAUUAUAAGGUGUCAAAGGUCAUACCCAAACUGUCUAUAUUAGCAAGUUAACUUCCAUAUUAUAUAGCUACAAGAGAUAAUCGUAGUGCUAAAUAGUUAUAGAUUCGUAAGAUCUAACUAGGAUUGGGAUUUGAAACAAAAUUGUAUCGACAAAUACAAUGAAGUUUAGGGAGAUUUUGGCUAUCGGCUUAUUGGUUAUCUUAAUGCGUGAAGAAAUAAAUGCUUUCUGUUUCUAUGGACGCCCAAAGAUUGCAUUUACUAGUAAAGGUAAACUAGAUAUAUAUUGUGCUGUACCAAAUGGUAAGAUGAGACCCGGUGACAGAUUUCGUGCUGGUUGCGAAGAGUGUUCGUGUACACGUACUAGUUGGCGCUGUUGUGGGAUUGGUUUUAAGUCCGGUUUAACUGUAAUGCCGGGCUGCACGAAGAAGAAGUUGGAUUAUUGUUGCUACCAGUUUGUGAACAACACAGAUCCUUAUAUUGCUUGUUCGCCUGUGCAAUGUCCACCAUCAUUCACAAGACUGAGUUAUACACCGGUUAAAAAUAUUUAUACCAACUUUGUGCACAACUGAUUCUUGUACCCAAGACUGAAUUUGCUGUACUCGAUGAAUAUCUGUAUAAAAGAAAGUAGGGGUGGAUGGAUGA